rnacentral:tRNA from 1 species
GCAUUGGUAGUUUCAGUGGUAGAAUUCUUGCCUUCCAUGCAGGAGACCCAGGUUUGAUUCCUAGCCAGUACA